GACAGCUUGUGUAUUCUGAAGAUUUACUAGCGCUUUAGGUAUAUUACCGCGAAUAAUAAAAGCGCUACAACGCUGUAUGGCAGUGUCAGGCGAUGUGGCAGCACAGAUAUCUUAAGAGCGGUAAAGCGGCUGCAUGCACAAGCGAACAGACACAGCGCUUUAAAAGCGCUGAAACAGAAAAAAAUUUAUGUGCAUUUGGCUGUAAGUAGAAAACACAAAACACGUUAGCUGACAAUCUAAGCCGAUGUAUAAUGUUAUUAUUUUUUAUGUAAUCUUUAUUUUCAUGGUGGUAAAUAUUUAAAAGCAUGAAUUUGCUGCAACCUUUAUAUAGUAAAUCCUACUAGGCGUACAAAACCUGGCUGUGUUAUGCACAGAAGUUGUGGUAUUCCUACUGGAUUUUCUAUUUUGAGUCCGGUGUUUUAUGAAAAAGAGGGUCUUUUUAUUUGUAGUCUUAUGUUAGUGCAGAUAUUUGGCAAGCAGAAAUGAAUUGAUUGCAAAGUGGUACCUCCUGGUGAUCUGCAUAUAAACCCAAGUUUAUCCUGUCUUGGCUAUUGUAAUGUGCAUAUAACAAUUUUAAGUAUAUACUGCUGUAGUUGGCUUAGUCACUGUCGCGUAUUUUGUAAAAGUAGAAGGCUAUGAUUAUUUUACUGUUUUCAUGCAGAAAUACCUUUCUUUCUUGUACCAAGAAACGCUCACAGCAUUGAAUGAAAUGAAGUGUGGUGUAUUAUUCUACUAAUUUAAUAAAGGAAAUUUCGUCUGCACUGCAUCAGAGAUUAGUUUACUUUCUUUUACUAAACAAUGCGUUAUCUCCUCUGCUACUGCUGUUCUGUGUAUUUUUGUAAUUUUGAAAUGUACUUUAUUUUAGGUAUUCAAGAAAUGCCAACAUCCAGAAGACGCCAUCUUAUCCAGCACGUUAUGGGUACACUCUGGUGGCUCCCGCCCCUGCAUCCUACCACCACUGUGUCCUGACUACGUCCACUAGAGAGUUCGAAGCCUUUGGCGGCUCCUGCCACUGCGUCCUGCCACCACCGUGUCCUGACUACGUCCACUAGGGAGUUGGCAGCCUUCGUGAUGAUGCCAAGCAGGCUGGAAGCCGACAGAAAGAUUAAGGUUGCCUCGAAAUUUUACCAAAGCCGUACCACACACUCGGGCCAGGCCUUUUUGCAAACGGCGUAUAACCAGGCUCAACGCAUGAGUGUCGAGUGAGUCUGGAGAUCAAGGCAACCUGCUGUGCAACCAGCAUGCAACCUUUGGUGACCCCUCUACAUGUUCCACCUAUUUCACAGCUGCACCUCAGCUGCAACUUAUCCAAACAGCAUCACCAACUGUGGUCACUCAUCGAACCAUGGAUGAAUGUUGGGGUGGAGUGAUUUGAAGAGACAUUCUAUUUGUCUCUUCAAAUUCUUAGCAAAUACUUGUGUUAUUAUAAUUAAUAUGUGUCUUUAGUGCCUAGUUUUUAAUGGUUCCUUUCUAUUAGAAUUCUCACCAUCGAUUCCUGGUAUUAUAAUGUAUGUCUUUAUGCCCAGUUUUUCGUAGUUGUUUCGUACUUGUGUAUGUAAUUGAUAGGUUCAUACUUGUUAUACAGAAGGCUAAAAUGCAAACUUACAGCAUUUUUUUUCUUUCUUUUGAUAAUCUACAGCACUGCAAAGUGUUCAAGAAAUGUAACCUAACGUGGGCUCUUGUGCAGGAAAAAUUUAAGAGCAAUAUAGAGUACUUAUUUCAAACACCCAUUAUUCUUGGAAAAGUCAAGAAUAUAGGAGCACAAAAAAGAAAAUAUUAAACUAGAGAAACAUGAGUUCCCCUCAUAAGUCUGAUAAUAAUGCGACUUCCUUUCACUGCAAAGAUACCAGUAAUGUACUCGCAUACAAGGUUUCAAACAAGAAAGCUAUGAUGCCCUUGGCAUUUCUCAGUGCCUAUUUGCCACACUGACGAAUGUCAAAGGCAUCGUAGGUUUCAUGCACACAUUGGUUGUGUUACACUUUUGAGUAUUGCAUUUCUCAAACACAAAGGUUUACAGCAGUGCUUUAAAUAGCAAGUGCAUUUCCUAAUUUAUUAGUACAAGAGUAACAGUACAGAUCAUGUAAAAAUUAUUUUACAGACUAUAUGUCCAUGGAUGCACGCUUCUGAUGACAUAGCAGUGACGUGUUCGUGGGAUGAAUGUCUUUAUUUCAGAUUUAAAUAUUGGCUUCCAGGUCUGGGUUAGUCUCCUACACUGAGUAGUCUAGGUCAGAGCCCAUUUACUAGAGAAAGUGAAUUAAACUAGGAAUUAUAAACAUCAAAAGAUCUUGUUUAGGACACCAAUAAGACAAUCAGCAAGGUUCUUUGGUUAUUCAUUUCCAAAUUUGUGAGGAUAUAUUUUAUGACUGGUUUCAAUAUUGUGAGAACAAAUAUUUGUUUAUUGUCACACUAGAGUUGGCUGCCCCCAUUUGUAUACAACCCCUUUACAGGCUAAAAAUUCAGUGUGUUACCCUAUUUACUCGCAUAAUGAUCGCACUUUUUUGUAAAAAAAAUUGACUCAAAUUCAGGGGUGCGAUCAUUACGCUGGUUAAAUUUCCCGCAAAAAGAAAAAAAUAUAUUAUCUGGCAUUUACUACGGGAUGACAACAGGUCAACAAAUAGGCGGCUGCUGCUGUAUGUAGUGCAGGACACGAAAAAAAAUGGUGGCCGGCAGAGCAAGCCGAACGCGCUGAAUGCGUUUUUCUUCUCGUGAGUACAUUACAGUGCAUUCAAACAGUUUCUUCCAUAUUAGUAAUGAAUAACAUCGGCAAGUUUGCGGCAAUAACAUAGCCAUGCCCACUUUGAGGGGACAGAGAUGGGCGCGCUUAGCUCUGCCAGUGACAUAGGAACACAUGGUGGGCAUGCUGCGGAAACUGCGGCAUUUGUCUUCACCACUAUCCUAAUGUGGCACGUUUCCGCUAAGGGUGGGCGAAUAUCUUAGCUGCGUUACAAACGUCGGCGAAUGAAUAGGGUACACUUCUAACGUAUCAGUGUAAACGUGGCUGCUAUCAUUGCCGCUCGCGAUUUGUUGCGUGCCCACAAGUGCAGAUGAGAAGAAUCGAAAGACGCCUUUUUUUGUUGUUUUUGUUGACCACAACCAUUAUAAAGCCUACACAUAAUAAAGGAAAGUUUGGUUGUAGCUUUUUUUUGUCGUAGAAGUGCAGAAAGUGAUGAAAGGAAUGAAAUGGGGCAUCUGCUUAAGAAAGUUUUUUGCAUGCAGUCUGCUUGGUUUGUCUUGAAGAGUCGUUCGCAUAGCAGUCGACAGAUGGUAAGCGCGAUCAUUAUUAGCUAGAUUUGGCACAUGACACAUCGCUGCGGCAAGUUCGGGGUGAAAUCGUUACAUGGGAAAUAAAAAAAAUCGAAUUUUGACGACAAAAUUUAGGAGUGCGAUCAUUACGCGAGUGCAAUCAUUAUGCGAGUAAAUACGGUAAUAGGCUGUUUUUGGUUUCGUGCACUCUAUGUUAAGGGAUGCAAAUGGUGACAUACAACAGAAUGCAAAAAUGACUAAUGAAUUCAAGCAGGGCAUGGGGCUUUUUAGGCAGAUGCGUGCGUGUGCUAUUUAUAAAGCUCCCCAUGGUAUGCCUGAAGGCAUUUUCUAACACUUUGGUAGAAUACACUGACACCCCCUUAUUAACUCUUCGAAACAACUCUUUUAUAUAUUUGUACUAGAGAUUUGAAUAUACUGUCAUUCAUAAAGUGUUUUAUUAGAUUUGAAUUGUCAUUUAUUUUUGUGUAGCUGCUGUUUUUCAGUUAUGUCCUACACAGUGGCAAAAUAUUUUUGUGGGCACUUUCCUGUGUAUAAAAUUUUCAGAAAUAGCUUCAUGCUGUAUCUUAUUUAGCUACUCGUAUACUGCAAAGUGGUGAUACCUAUCCAAACGGCUUGUACAAUUACUGGAACUAUGCAAAAAUAUAUUAGGCCACAUUAAAUAAUUUUACAGAUUGCAAUUUCAAUUAGAUAUCAGCAUUCUGCAUAUCUUGAAGAGUACGUAUGCCAAAUUUCGAAGUAUAGGACAACUAUAAGUGCAUAAGGUUAUUCUCAUGCUAUUGUGAGAAAAUGUUUUUGAAGUAUAUUCAAUAGUUUUUUUUCACAAUAGCAUGAGAAGUAUGCAAGAUUAGUAGGCAGGCCUCUCUGCCUGCCUACUAAUUUUGCAUACUUCUAGUAACUUUACAUGCUCUUUGAAUAGAUAUCGGCACUUUGCAGUCUACAAAGAGCUGAGGUAGCUACAGCACACUGCUUUUUGUGAAAAUUUACACAAGAAAGUGCCCGCAAAGAUCAGUGUAUUUUCCCAUUGUGUAGGACAUAACUCAAGAAGCAGCUAAAGAAAUACUAAUGACAUAUAUGACAUCUGCAUGAAGAACUCUACAAUUUGCUCUCUUUUCAAGCCUCUAGCACGAAUAAUAAGACUGUUUCGAGUAAUAUUCAAUCAGCAAAACAUGCCCCUUGCUAUAGUGACCUACAACAUAGAAACGCAAAUUGAACGCAAGUCUUUUUGUUGAAGCGACUCUGGGCUGUCUUCCCAAGGGCUUCUGUUAAACACUGAAAUUUCCUGCAUUUACCAGAAGUGCAAUACUCAAAUGUUUGUGUAUGUGCAAUUGGUAUUGGCAAACUAACAGAAAAAAAGACAGUUCUGUGAAAUGAAGAAUUGACUAUAACUUUGUUCGACAUUUACAUUUUGACUCCAUAUCUUUGUUUUGUGCUUUGUACUGAGUGUUUCAGCAGUGACUGCCGCUAAAAAUUGAACAUAACUGCUUCAUGACAAUGCGACAAUUUUCGCUAACAGAAAUUUAUAGCAGUGGCAGGCAUUAUAAUUACCGUACUCAAUAACGUCUAGUUUGUAAGAACUCAGACUAGCACCAGUUCCGAGAUACACAACCCAAAAAGACAUGAUCAGAUAGGUUUAUCUUCCACACAGAAUUGUCCCAUAAAGCUUACAAAAUGUUUUGUGGCUAAGUAAUAUCUGCAACAGCAAAGCAUGUUCCACCAAGUAUGGCGAUAAAUAUUUCAGAGCUGUCAGUCUGAGGACUCCUACAAACUAACAAUACCUUCAGCACUGACUAGCCUCAAUAAUAGGAUGUCAGCCAUUUUGCUGAAAUUAAUAAAACUUCAAUUAUUGUGAUCUUGUUUACGAAAACAUUUGCAAUUGUAAUUCAGUUCUAGUAUCUGUCACUUUUGUAAAUAUUUUCCAAUUAGUUUUUCAGACUACAAUUUUUGGUAAUAGAGGUAUUCAUUGCAGAAAGAUCUAGUACAUGGCACUUAAUAAUAAAGGUACUGGUCAUCGUAGACUUUCUGUUGCACAGCUGUUUCUUGAAAUCUGAAAGGAUGUACCCGCCUCCUUAUGUUAGCUAGAAACGGAAAUCUGUCAGUAUGUUUUGUUUAAAAUACAGCUGAUCAACCCGAUAGUUAGGCUGCUUGCCAAAUAUAAAUUAUAACGAUAAUAGUGAAGGACCAUAAUAACAGAGUGAUGCUGACUCAUAACUAUGCCCAGCUACAUCCACGCAGCUGUGCCAUACAAUGUGCAUGUGUUCAGAAGAGCCAAAUGCCCCAGAGAGAAAGCAACAGUAACUCAUUGUUUGUCAUCUUGUUCAAGCAGAUUAUGCGCUAGCUGUAAUUUAUGCUCAGUAAAUACAUAAAUCAGUCAUGUCAGGUGUCUUACUUUAGGUUGCAAGUUCGAAGUUCUUGUAAUCUUGCUUGUUUUUAUUUUGUUUUCUUUGUGAGAAUGAGUCACUUGGUUGCCUUCGCACAUAUUCUCAAAACUGUUUCAUCACUGGGAAUCAGGAAAUUUAAUUUGCAUAUGAAAUUCCCAGUUACUAAUUUGGUAGGCUUUGAGCUUAAUUCUCUUAUCUUUUAUAUGUUUAUCUACCAAGUAGUCUUAUCGUUCAUUGAAACAUAUCCAUGUAAUGCAGAGAGGGCACCCAAAUUAUAAAUAUCUCUUCUUGCUUUCUACCCUGCUCUGGUGUUUUCAAAACCUAGCAUUGGUGCAAUGGCCUGUCUGCAGAAAAGUAGUAAAGUGGCUAAAUUUAAAGGUCAACAACAUAAUUAAGAUACAAAGCAAAAAUAUAAGUUCGCAAUUGUCCCCCAUAACGAGAGUUCUGCUUAGAAUUUAAAAAAAAAUUGACAUCCUGCUGUGGUGUGAGAAUUGCUUUGGGUUCCAAGGGGACUACGUAGCACCUGUACUAGUGUAUACAAAGCAAAAAAAAAGAUCACUCCAGAUUGGAGCGGCAGUGGGAAGUCAAGCACAGAUGCUUUAUUUCACGCACCAUUAAUGUGGUUUAUCAUCUGCUCCUGUUGUAUGGGAAUGCAUACAUUGGGAAGACAAUCCUUUGCGCCAUUGUUACCUUAGCGGGACACCAGAGAAAGGUAGAAAUCGAGAACAGGUAUUCACACUUGGUUGCCCACAGUGUGUUAUUUGGAUGUGUUUCACUCUACAAAAGACUACUGUGGUAGGUAAUCAUAAUGACAAAGACAAAAGAAUUAAAAGAGGUAUGUGUCCGUCAUCCGUCCGUGACCUCCAGUGUUUAUAGAAACACUUCUUUGUGUAUAUGUGCCAAGCCGUAGGGAGGCUUUACGUAACUCAGUCAUGCUUGCUAAGCUAAAGAUUGGAAUAAGGAAAAUCACAAGAACAUUGUAUGAGUGAUUUAUAAAUGUGGCACCUAAAGUAACUUAUUCAUGUAUGUCCUGAGGAUAGAUUACAGCCAGUGCAUAAUGUGCUCUUACAGGAUGACUUGUGAUGAGUAAAAGAAGCCUUCCUCACAUCUUCCUCUUUGUUUCUUUUGGAUCUUUGUGCACUAUGUGUAUUGUUACAGCUGCGUGCAUGCAGCUGGGUAUAGUUUGUUUAUGUGUUCUGCUUCCUCUCUUGUACUCAUCAUUCAUGCGCUAUCUUUGCCGUAACAAAAUACAGCUGCCUGUGCUACUUAUUUUGUCAACGUGUUUGCAUUAUGGAAAGUUUUGUAUUAGCGGUUAUUUCUACCUGUGAAAUUGUCUGUGUCAGCUAUUUUACUUAGUCUUGCAAAAGUAUGCUUCUCAACAUAAAUAAAUGAUCAGUGUAAGUGUUGCUGUAUUUAUUUUUGUAAUUUUGUCAGUUAUGAGGUUUUUAUACACUGUUGCAUGUUGUAUGACAGAAUAAAAUUGAUGCACAACUUUUUAA